rnacentral:rRNA from 1 species
UACGUAGGGUGCGAGCGUUGUCCGGAAUUACUGGGCGUAAAGCGCUCGCAGGUGGUUCGUCGCGUCGUGCGUGAAAGACCCCGGCUCAACUGGGGGGUGUCGUGCGAUACGGGCGGACUGGAGGCCAGUAGGGGGAUGCGGAAUUCCGGGUGUAGUGGUGGAAUGCGUAGAGAUCCGGAGGAGCACCAGCGGCGAAGGCGGCAUCCUGGACUGGUCCUGACACUCAUGAGCGAAAACGUGGGGAGCGAUCCGG